CAGCCGCCGCGGUAAUACGAAGGGUGCAAGCGUUACUCGGAAUUACUGGGCGUAAAGCGUGCGUAGGUGGUGGUUUAAGUCCGUUGUGAAAUCCCCGGGCUCAACCUGGGAAUGGCAAUGGAUACUGGCAAGCUAGAGUGUGUCAGAGGAUGGUGGAAUUCCCGGUGUAGCGGUGAAAUGCGUAGAGAUCGGGAGGAACAUCAGUGGCGAAGGCGGCCAUCUGGGACAACACUGACGCUGAGGCACGAAAGCGUGGGGAGCAAACAGGAUUAGAGACCCCCGUAGUCCCUGUCUCUUAUAC
rnacentral:rRNA from 1 species